rnacentral:rRNA from 1 species
CACACCGCCCGUCACACCAUGGGAGUUGAUUGCACCAGAAGUAGGUAGCCUAACCGCAAGGAGGGCGCUUACCACGGUGUGGUCAAUGACUGGGGUGAAGUCGUAACAAGGUACCC